rnacentral:rRNA from 1 species
GAUGAACGCUGGCGGCAUGCCUAAUACAUGCAAGUCGAGCGAACAGACGAGGAGCUUGCUCCUCGGACGUUAGCGGCGGACGGGUGAGUAACACGUGGAUAAUCUACCUAUAAGACUGAGAUAACUUCGGGAAACCGGAGCUAAUACCGGAUAAUAUAUUGAACCGCAAUGUUCAUUAAUUAAAGACGGUUUUGCUGUCACUUAUAGAUGGAUCCGCGCCGCAUUAGCUAGUUGGUAAGUUAAACGCUUACCAAGCCAAAGAUCUGUACCCGGCCUGAGAGGGUAAGCGGCAAAACAAGAAAUGAAACAAAAAAAAGACAACUUAGAUACGCAGCAGUAGGGAAGCUUCCGCAGUAGGCGAGAGCCUGACGGAGCGACGCCGCGUAAGUGAUGAAGAGCGUCGGAUCGUGAACCUCUGUGAUUCGGGAAGAACAACUGUGUGAAUAACUAUGCACGUCUUGACGGUGCCUAAUCAGAAAGCCACGGCUAACUACGUG